rnacentral:rRNA from 1 species
CCUACGGGGGGCAGCAGUGAGGAAUAUUGGUAAAUGGGCGAGAGCCUGAACCAGCCAAGUCGCGUGAGGGAGUACUGCCCUAUGGGUUGUAAACCUCUUUUGUCGGGGAGCAAAAGCCGGACGUGUCCGGCGGUGAGAGUACCCGAAGAAAAAGCAGCGGCAAACUCCGUGCCAGCAGCCGCGGUAAGACGGAGGAUGCGAGCGUUAUCCGGAUUGAUGGGGUUUAAAGGGUGCGUAGAUGGGUUGUUAAGUCAGUUGGGAAAGUUUGCGGCUCAACCGUAAAAUUGCAAUUGAUACUGGCAGCCUUGAGUACAGUUGAGGUAGGCGGAAUUCGUGGUGUAGCGGUGAAAUGCUUAGAUAUCACGAAGAACUCCGAUUGCGAAGGCAGCUUACUAAACUGCCCCUGACAUUGAUGCUCGAAAGUGUGGGUAUCAAACAGGAUUAGAUACCCGAGUAGUC